GAGUUUGAUCGUGGCUCAGAUUGAACGCUGGCGGCGUGCUUAACACAUGCAAGUCGUACGCGAAAGGGACUUCGGUCCCGAGUAAAGUGGCGCACGGGUGAGUAACACGUGGAUAAUCUGCCUCUAUGAUGGGAUAACAGUUGGAAACGACUGCUAAUACCGAAUACGCUCAUGAUGAACUUUAUGAGGAAAGGUGGCCUCUGCUUGCAAGCUAUCGCAUAGAGAUGAGUCCCGCGUCCCAUUAGCUAGUUGGUGGGUAACGGCCUACCAAGGCAACGAUGGGUAGCCGAUCUGAGAGGAUGAUCGGCCACACUGGAACUGAAACACGGUCCAGACUCCUACGGGAGGCAGCAGUGGGGAAUAUUGCGCAAUGGGCGAAAGCCUGACGCAGCGACGCCGCGUGAGGGAUGAAGGUCUUCGGAUCGUAAACCUCUGUCAGAAGGGAAGAAACUAGGGUGCUCUAAUCAUCAUCCUACUGA
rnacentral:rRNA from 1 species